rnacentral:rRNA from 1 species
UAGAAAUACGGGGGUGCUCCUUCGGGAGAGCGGUGAGACAGGUGGUGCAUGGUUGUCGUCAGCUCGUGUCGUGAGAUGUUGGGUUAAGUCCCGCAACGAGCGCAACCCCUAUCGUAUGUUGCCAGCGAGUAAAGUCGGGCACUCAUGCGAGACUGCCGGUGACAAACCGGAGGAAGGUGGGGAUGACGUCAAGUCAGCAUGGCCUUUAUGUCUGGGGCCACACACGUGCUACAAUGGCCGGUACAAACCGUUGCAAACUCGCGAGGGUGAGCUAAUCGGAUAAAGCUGGUCUCAGUUCGGAUUGUAGGCUGCAACUCGCCUGCAUGAAGUUGGAAUCGCUAGUAAUCGCGGAUCAGCACGCCGCGGUGAAUACGUUCCCGGGCCUUGUACACACCGCCCGUCACAUCACGAAAGCCGG